AGACCCGAAACCCGGUGAUCUAGCCAUGGGCAGGUUGAAGGUUGGGUAACACUAACUGGAGGACCGAACCGACUAAUGUUGAAAAAUUAGCGGAUGACCUGUGGCUGGGGGUGAAAGGCCAAUCAAACCGGGAGAUAGCUGGUUCUCCCCGAAAGCUAUUUAGGUAGCGCCUCGUGAACUCAUCUCCGGGGGUAGAGCACUGUUUCGGCUAGGGGGCCAUCCCGGCUUACCAACCCGAUGCAAACUGCGAAUACCGGAGAAUGUUAUCACGGGAGACACACGGCGGGUGCUAACGUCCGUCGUGAAGAGGGAAACAACCCAGACCGCCAGCUAAGGUCCCAAAGUCAUGGUUAAGUGGGAAACGAUGUGGGAAGGCCCAGACAGCCAGGAUGUUGGCUUAGAAGCAGCCAUCAUUUAAAGAAAGCGUAAUAGCUCACUGGUCGAGUCGGCCUGCGCGGAAGAUGUAACGGGGCUAAACCAUGCACCGAAGCUGCGGCAGCGACACUGUGUGUUGUUGGGUAGGGGAGCGUUCUGUAAGCCUGCGAAGGUGGCCUGUGAGGGUUGCUGGAGGUAUCAGAAGUGCGAAUGCUGACAUAAGUAACGAUAAAGCGGGUGAAAAGCCCGCUCGCCGGAAGACCAAGGGUUCCUGUCCAACGUUAAUCGGGGCAGGGUGAGUCGACCCCUAAGGCGAGGCCGAAAGGCGUAGUCGAUGGGAAACGGGUUAAUAUUCCCGUACUUGGUGUUACUGCGAAGGGGGGACGGAGAAGGCUAUGUUGGCCGGGCGACGGUUGUCCCGGUUUAAGCGUGUAGGUGUGUGUUCCAGGUAAAUCCGGUU
rnacentral:rRNA from 2 species